GAUGAACGCUGGCGGCGUGCCUAAUACAUGCAAGUCGAGCGAACAGACGAGGAGCUUGCUCCUCUGACGUUAGCGGCGGACGGGUGAGUAACACGUGGAUAACCUACCUAUAAGACUGGGAUAACUUCGGGAAACCGGAGCUAAUACCGGAUAAUAUAUUGAACCGUAUGGUUCAAUAGUGAAAGACGGUUUUGCUGUCACUUAUAGAUGGAUCCGCGCCGCAUUAGCUAGUUGGUAAGGUAACGGCUUACCAAGGCAACGAUGCGUAGCCGACCUGAGAGGGUGAUCGGCCACACUGGAACUGGGCCACGGUCCAAACCCCUACGGGGGGCAGCGGUAGGGAAUCUUCCGCAAUGGGCGAAAGCCUGAGGGAGCAACGCCGCGGGGGUGAUGAAGGUCUUCGGAUCGUAAAACUCUUUUAUUAGGGAAAAAAAAAUGGGUAAGUAACUAUGCCCGUCUUGACGGUACCUAAUCAAAAAGCCCCGGCUAACUACGU
rnacentral:rRNA from 1 species